UCCGGCAUGGUGUAGUGGCUAGCAUUUCCGGCCUCUCAAUGAAGAUUCCUUCGAGUUUCUCAACAGGUCGCGGGAGACCGGGGUUCAAUUCCCCGUACCGGAA
rnacentral:tRNA from 1 species